UCCUACGGGGGGCAGCAGUGGGGAAUUUUGGACAAUGGGGGCAACCCUGAUCCAGCAAUGCCGCGUGUGUGAAGAAGGCCUUCGGGUUGUAAAGCACUUUUGUCCGGAAAGAAAUCGCACUUACUAAUAUUAGGUGUGGAUGACGGUACCGGAAGAAUAAGGACCGGCUAACUACGUGCCAGCAGCCGCGGUAAUACGUAGGGUCCAAGCGUUAAUCGGAAUUACUGGGCGUAAAGCGUGCGCAGGCGGUUGUGCAAGACCGAUGUGAAAUCCCCGGGCUUAACCGGGGAAUUGCAUUGGUGACUGCACGGCUAGAGUGUGUCAGAGGGGGGUAGAAUUCCACGUGUAGCAGUGAAAUGCGUAGAGAUGUGGAGGAAUACCGAUGGCGAAGGCAGCCCCCUGGGAUAACACUGACGCUCAUGCACGAAAGCGUGGGGAGCAAACAGGAUUAGAUACCCUAGUAGUCA
rnacentral:rRNA from 1 species